GUGAUCAACAAUAGUUGGGAGUUUUUAAAUAAAAGGCUGCCAUUACAGGUUAUUGUUCCUUGAAAGUUUAAAUUGUGGAGUUCUUGAUUAAAUUGUAGGCAUCUGGGGUUCAUGCCAAUGAAAAUGCUGGACUUUGGGGGUUUUGUCCAUUAAAACGUAGGUAUGUUGGUGUUUGACGUUCUAACUGAGUGAAGUGUUGAUGUUUCUGGUUCUAGUUGAGCGAACAGUUGGAUAUUGGGGGUUCCAGUUUAAAUGAUAG